UUCAGAAGCGAGAAGGCAUUUAUUUCUGCACACUUCCAGGAGAUCCUGCUGAAUUCAUUUUAUUGGGGCUAUUUCUGAUUGCAGAUUUCUCACAUGGACACCUGCAGUUGCCGAACCAAUCUAUCAACCAAAGGUGAAGAAUUUACAGAUGAGGAAUCACCCCAGAGGUGGAACAGUGGUGCACAAAAGAACAUGAAUAGUUCCGAGGACAGAGAGAUGGAUGAAUGCUAGUUAAUCCAAGAUGACUACAAUGAAAAGAUUUUUAUUUGGAUCCUGAAGUGGAAAGAAGGAUAAAGAAGAAAGGAAGGAAACUAGCAUCUACUAAGUACAAUAUUAAGUUGGCUUCUUCAUAUACUUUAUCACAUCAAUCCUUACAAUAAUUCUGUGUGUUUGGUAAUAAAUUGAACCAUAUAAAUAUGGUUUUGUAAAUU
rnacentral:lncRNA from 1 species